GCCGAAGUGGCGGAACUGGGAGACGCGCUGUCUUGAGGGGGCAGUGCCCGCAAGGGCGUGCGGGUUCGACUCCCGCCUUCGGCACCA
rnacentral:tRNA from 1 species